rnacentral:rRNA from 1 species
CGUGCUUAACACAUGCAAGUCGAACGAUGAAAGAGGGAGCUUGCUUCUUCUGGAUUAGUGGCGAACGGGUGAGUAACACGUGAGCAAUCUGCCCUUGACUCUGGGAUAAGCGUUGGAAACGACGUCUAAUACCGGAUACGACCCUCGGAGGCAUCUCCUGGGGGUGGAAAGAAUUUUGGUCAAGGAUGAGCUCGCGGCCUAUCAGCUAGUUGGUGAGGUAAUGGCUCACCAAGGCGACGACGGGUAGCCGGCCUGAGAGGGUGACCGGCCACACUGGGACUGAGACACGGCCCAGACUCCUACGGGAGGCAGCAGUGGGGAAUAUUGCACAAUGGGCGAAAGCCUGAUGCAGCAACGCCGCGUGAGGGAUGACGGCCUUCGGGUUGUAAACCUCUUUUAGUAGGGAAGAAGCGAAAGUGACGGUACCUGCAGAAAAAGCACCGGCUAACUACGUGCCAGCAGCCGCGGUAAUACGUAGGGUGCAAGCGUUGUCCGGAAUUAUUGGGCGUAAAGAGCUCGUAGGCGGUUUGUCGCGUCUGCUGUGAAAUCUGGGGGCUCAACCCCCAGCCUGCAGUGGGUACGGGCAGACUAGAGUGCGGUAGGGGAGAUUGGAAUUCCUGGUGUAGCGGUGGAAUGCGCAGAUAUCAGGAGGAACACCGAUGGCGAAGGCAGAUCUCUGGGCCGUAACUGACGCUGAGGAGCGAAAGCAUGGGGAGCGAACAGGAUUAGAUACCCUGGUAGUCCAUGCCGUAAACGUUGGGAACUAGAUGUG